rnacentral:rRNA from 1 species
CCCUUAGAUGUUCUGGGCUGCACGCGCGCUACACUGAUACUUUCAGCGAGUCCACCACCUUGCCUGAGAGGGUGGGGUAACCUCUGGAAAGUGUAUCGUGAUGGGGAUCGAUUAUUGUAAUUAUUAAUCUUCAACGAGGAAUUCCUAGUAAACGCAAGUCAUCAGCUUGCAUUGAUUACGUCCCUGCCCUUUGUACACACCGCCCGUCGCACCUACCGAUUGAAUGGUCCGGUGAAAUCUCGGGACGGCGGCUUGGUCGCUUGCGUCCGACUGCUGAAACUUGAUUAAACCAUAUCAUUUAGAGGAAGGUGAAGUCGUAACA